rnacentral:rRNA from 1 species
GAUGAACGCUCGCUACAGGCUUAACACAUGCAAGUCGAGGGGAAACGACAUCGAAAGCUUGCUUUUGAUGGGCGUCGACCGGCGCACGGGUGAGUAACGCGUAUCCAACCUGCCCAUCACUUGGGAAUAACCUUGCGAAAGUAAAACUAAUACCCAAUGAUAUCCCACGAAGGCAUCGGAAUGGGAUUAAAGAUUUAUCGGUGAUGGAUGGGGAUGCGUCUGAUUAGCUUGUUGGCGGGGUAACGGCCCACCAAGGCAACGAUCAGUAGGGGUUCUGAGAGGAAGGUCCCCCAAGUUGGAACUGAGACACGGUCCAAACUACUACGGGAGGAAGCAGUGAGGAAUAUUGGGCAAUGGGCGAGAGCCUGAACCAGCCAAGUAGCGUGCAGGAAGACGGGCCUAUGGGUUGUAAACUGCUUUUAUAAGGGAAUAAAGUGGGUCACGUGUGACUUUUUGCAUGUACCUUAUGAAUAAGGACCGGCUAAUUCCGUG